UCUAGUCUCGAUCACCCAGACGCAUUAUGAAUAUAGCGUCUGGAUUUUUGUGUCUUUGGAUUUCGUUCAUAGAUGGCGUUUUAAAAUUUGGUAAUGACCUUGACCACAUGUUCCCGGAAGGUAAAAACUUCAGGAAUAUGGACGAUAACAUGCGGCAGUGGUUAACCAGAGUUGUGAGUUUCAGUGUAAAAUGAAACGUUUAAACAGCAUGGAAACUAGACAAUUAACUUAUCAAGGUUCAUGCUUACGAAUGUCUCUUUUAAUAGGAUAGGGAAAAUGUAGUUUUUUACACAUAACUCAGAAAGGGGGGGGGGUUGUUGCAAACUAAUCCUUGGUUGUUACAACCUACUGUUUUUGUACACCUUUAUGUACAAAAACAGUAGGUUGUAACAACCAAGGAUUAGUUUGCAAAAUCCUUGUAACAACUAGUAUCAUAAAAUAAAAUGUAAAAUGUUUGACAAUUUGUAUUAGGUAUGUAGUUUUAAAUAUUUUACCUCAUGCAUCGAUCACUGAAAUCUUAGACUACUAUAACACAGUAGUCUCAGCUGAAAUCUCAAUAUAAAAAAAAACAAAACUACCACACAUUUGACUCUUGAGCCUUGAGGUAUACUGCAAAUCACAAGGAUACUUAGAAUAUAAUUAAUAAAGGAUAUUUAAUAUGACUAAUCUGCAGUAAGCACCAAGAAUUGAUGCUUAAAGGUAAGUCCCUUCUUGUACUUAAUGCAGAUGAGUCAAACUCCUAUUUUAUUUAAAAUAUAUUUUAAAAGCAUAUUUAAAGAUUAUAGAUUCUGUGUCCAGCCAACAAAGAUCAUCAAGGGACGGUGCAAGAGAAUAUGAAAUUCUUCUUACAAUAAAACAAUUUAUCCUCAUGCUAUAUAUAUAGAUUAUGCCAUUUAGAAUGCACUUAAAGUUAAUGAAACUAACAAUUAAACAAAUACAGGAUUACUGUUGUAACAAUUGUUGAUUGCCAUAAAAGGCUGAUUAGUAUUGAGAAUGAAAUAAAAAAUAUGACCAACAGAAUACAGUAUAUUAUAACUAUCUAUAAUCUAUGUACAUUGUAAUCUAUGUAUAACGUAUCUGCAUUGAGUUGCAUCUGAAAUAGUAAAAUACUGACAUAUAAUAUCUUUUCCAGGUCAAUUAUCUGUAUUGAAUGGCUGGAGAAUACAAACCUAGUACAAAUGUAUAUAGAGGAAUGAAGAGGCCUCACAUAUAAC
rnacentral:lncRNA from 1 species